AGCAAAUGAACUAAGACAAAAAUUAAAGAAUAUUUGCUAAUUGAUCAAAUGGCUCUAAAUGACAUAGUAUUUUUUCAGAAUUGGAAAUACUAAUAUAAUACCUUUUCUCAUUAUUCAGAACAUUGACAUACCACAGCAACCAAAAGUCACUAGUAUUUUAUGUCUUUAUGUCCUUGCUUAUUUGCCUGUUGAUUUCCCAUUUGUAAGCAAUUCAAAGUCCACUGCAUGAUGACAACUGUACCCCAAAACAAGUAGACCUAUUUGAUUAAUUAAUUAGAAUGUAUUUUGAAAAAUCAGCUUAACGUUGAUUCUUGAAGAUGAUUCCAAGUAGCAACUUGGACUAGGAAAACUGAAUACAAUGCCCAGAAGCCCCCGUGGCAGUACAGAUGCAAAGUCUGCAACUCAAUUUUACUAUUCCUUGAACUACAGUGCUACCUGGGUGGUGCCAAGCAACUGGAAUCCUUGAGCAAUUUGGGCAAUCGGCAAUCUGAUCAAGCAAUCUGAUAUUGGAAGACAUCCUACACAGAUUGCAAUAAAAAGCAAAAUACCUGCUAACAACCUGAAACUGCAGUGGUAGGAAUUGCUGGUGUGUCCGGAAUUGGUGGGUUCUUGGUCUCACUGACUUCAAGAAUGAAGCCGCAGACCCUCGCGAUCAUAGGUAAACUCCUGGGAUUCUGAGGUCUGAGGCCAUGCAAAAGACACCUUGGAAAAUCAUAGUCAACAUCUGGACCUCUGUAUUCUUCUCUGCAAAAUGAGGAGGCUGAUUAAAUGCUGUUGAAGACUC